UUGAUUCAUUUUGAAUUUUUGCUCAGAGCUGUAAGAAAUAACGUCCGCGAGGGGGUAUACAAAAGAGUUUUGGGUUGGUCCUCCGGCGGGCGCCUUGGUCCGGGGCUGCGACGCGCCCGGGGCAUAAAUCCCGCCGAGGCAACAGUUUGGUAACGUUCACAUUGGGUUUGGGAGUUGUAAACUCGGUAAUGAUCCCUCCGCUGGUUCACCAACGGAGA
rnacentral:misc_RNA from 1 species